UCGAGUGAGCGCACGCCGCCGCAGCCGCGGCCAGGGGGUCCCGCGCGCCCGGCCGAGACGGACACGGCGCAGGAGGCGGGCCGGCCGGGGCCCCCGCACCCUAGACCUCCGCGGGAGGACGCGGGCCACCGAGCUACCCGGCCCCGGCCGCGACCCGCCCACGCGUAUCGCGGCCGGUGGCCGAUUGCACAGAACCUCAACAAACGGGUCCUUUCCGUGGGGCUCGAGAAAAAGAACACCAUUUGACUGCGGUCGACCUGUUGCCUCACGUUGGCCGGGGUGGGGGAAGCAGAAAGGAAAAACCUGCAAGCAGGGACCUGACUGGCCCCGACCAGCAAGGAACCAGUGAUUGUAGGCGGUGACCUGCCCUCUCUCUGGCCUUGUCAAGGGACUCAAAUCCCUGCCCAGGGGUGCCCCUGGCCCCAGGGCUGCCUGGGGAGCUGCUGGGCGAAGGGCCUGACCCAGGAGGACAGGAAGGGCCUUCCAGGCAGAGGCACGGAGGGGCUUGGCCCCCCAAGGCCAGGAUCACACAGGAGAACCUCCUCUAGAUGGGCUUGGAUGGUCUUGCAGGUCCUGGGCGCGCUGCUUCCCCCGUUCCAGGAUGACAAGACGUGGCACCGAGGGGAGCCGGGAAGGACCCCAGGGCCACAGCAGCUCUGCUGCUGGAUGCUCCCGGCCUCCAGUGCUCCAAGUUCCUGGGGCUGAAAACCGAAGUGGUCUGGUCAGCCCCAGGGACCAAGUGGCCCAGUGUCACACCACCUGCCCUUCUCAGCCGUCCAGCGGGAGGCCAGGCCCUGGGUGAUGGGCUCUGCCUGCCUGACCCUAGGACCGAGGCCAGACAAGGCCACCGUGUAUCCCCUACUAUUUCCCACAGGGUGUACUGGCUUCCUCCCUUGUGCCAAGUGUCCUGGGCUCUCUGGUCCCGGGGCCCCUUCUGCACCCCAUCCCUUUCCCCCCAGGACCACUUCUGGGAGCCCGCCAGCCUGCUGACCCCAUGCACAGAUCUGUGGGGACAGCCUGCAAGAGCCCCACGGGGCAGCCUGAGAGGAGAGGACGAGGGGCCUCCUUAGGGCUGAUGCACAGAUGUGCCCCCUCAAGUCCAGGUCUCACCCUUGGGGUGACCUCCCCAGCUGCAGCCCUGUGGGUCCGAGGACACCUCUUCCCGACAGACCCCUCCUCUGCAGGGAUGCCCCUCCCCGUAUCUCUCCCUCCUGGAGGGCACAGAAGUCUCAUGGGGCCCAAGGGACUGGGGGAGGGGGUCCGCACAUCUUGAGCAUGUGUUCCUGCCUCUGCUUUUCUGACCAUUUUGGCCUUGAGUAGCCAGCCUGCUUCCUGCCACCGCUUCCGGCCCGCCGGCAGCCCCGGCUGCCUGGGGGGCUCUCAGUGCACUUUAUUUAUUUGCAGUGUUUUCCAGGCAGCGAAGCUUCUACGAAAUCAGAGACACGAGCUGAGUAAGAUGAGUGUCACUUUCCUGCGUGUGAUUAACUGUACUGGUCAGCCCGUCUGCUGAGACCUGUUCCUGUUUCUGGUAUUGUCCAAUCUCGUCGCUCUAAGUUAAAAACCACACACCUCCUUGAGUUCAAUAAAAUAAAGUAAAACCGGA